UGCCCAAUGCAGGAAUCGAACCCGGGACGUAGUGAUCGAAAACCAACCAUCCUUCCACCGACCGUCUGGGUCAAACACUGGUC